rnacentral:rRNA from 1 species
UAUUGCACAAUGGGGGAAACCCUGAUGCAGCGACGCCGCGUGGGCGAAGAAGUAUUUCGGUAUGUAAAGCCCUAUCAGCAGGGAAGAAGAAAUGACGGUACCUGAGUAAGAAGCACCGGCUAAAUACGUGCCAGCAGCCGCGGUAAUACGUAGGGGGCAAGCGUUAUCCGGAUUUACUGGGUGUAAAGGGGGCGCAGACGGCAGCGCAAGCCAGGAGUGAAAGCCCGGGGCCCAACCCCGGGACUGCUCUUGGAACUGCGCGGCUGGAGUGCAGGAGGGGCAGGCGGAAUUCCUGGUGUAGCGGUGAAAUGCGUAGAUAUAUGGAAGAACACCAGUGGCGAAAGCGGCUCUCUGGUCUGUAACUGACGCUGAGGUUCGAAAGCGUGGGUAGCAAACAGG